GAAGCUGAACUUGAAACUUUCUUUGGCGGAGAGUAGCGAUGAUAAUAUAUCAGUUGAUUGUACUUAUUUAAAUUCAGGAUUUGUAUGAGCACUGACGUCAAUUACGUCAAACAUGUUAAUAAAGGCACGUUGGUAUGCCAAUAAAUUGAUACAGGGCCGAUGCAUCUCAUGCGUCGUAUGGAGAAAGGAGCACCCAGAUGUGACAAGGUGACUGCUGGGCUUUCACAUGCAUGUUCUCUUGUUAAGGUCGUUCCUGCAUGAAAGUGCUUCUGAUACCACAGAAAUUGAGACCGAGGGCAACUCUUACUAUGAUUAUGAACUAGAAGACUACUCAACUCACAAAUAUAUAAGUGGUCAUAAAUGAAUUUCUCCAAUGAGGAUUUUCCUAUUUUUAUUUUAUUUAUGAGCAGUUUAACAUUGAUGCUUAUUCCAUUUUGUUGUGUGCUACGAUGUUUUGUUCUUCUUCGAUGUUGUUCUGGUGUUCUAUGUAUGAUAUUUGUUUAAGUAAAUGUAAAAACUAUAUAUUGUAACUUUUGUAUUUACAAGCUCAAUUAUUGUUUAAACAGUAACACUAUUUUAAAGAAAUAUUUUGCAUAAAUUAAUAAA